CCCGUCUGUCGCGUCCUGAACGCCCACGUCACAUCUGCUGGUCCGUAUUUAAGGAGUUUCCCGUCCGUAGCUGAGGCUGAGAAACAACACUGCUGUACGCCAGGACGCCUCACACAGACAGGACCUCACAGCCUCGCGGUAGCCAACUUCAGUCCUGACAGAACAUUACUGAGGAGACAGCAUGAUCAUCACAUGUGUAAUGAAGGUGGACGGGAAAAUUGUGACAGUCCGUAAUUUCCCAGAUGGACUGAAGAUGGUUGCCAUUGACCAGCUGAAUUCAAUACCUGCUGAACAUGGGAUGCAAAUAAUAGAAAGUGUGAGAGACAAGAAAAAACUGAUGGCUUUCCAUUUCCGCCAUAAUGAGAAGAAUUAUUGUACAAAGGUGGUGGAAGAAUGCCUCAAGGUAGAGGAAACUGUUUGCUGUGAUGGAAACCCAAAAAAUAUAUCUGAUAACCACUGGUUUGUGAUGGAAGAAAAUGGGAAUGGUAAAAACUACAACCUGCACACUUUGUGUGCCCCCAGGCUUUACCUUUCAUUGCCAUCUGAGAGGACCUACACUUUCACCCUAACUCACUACCCCCAGGAGUCUGUUGAGGUCUCACCGUCAAAUAUUUGAGCAUAUUAUCACCAUGCUUCCUUUGUACCCCAUGCUACCGGAUAUGCUCAAUCUCUGGACCAAGAUAGCAUUGGAGUUAUUCUGAAGAUGUUUUCAAUUCACUGGUGGGGCUUGGUGUCAACUUGUUGUACUUUAUUCUAGGGGUAUUCUUGCUUUUAAAGUAGAGCUCCCAAAUAUAUAGAUUUUGAAUCUACUCCAAAAACACUGGACACUUAAUUUCCAAUUCUGAUAAUGUCAGAUGAAUGAAAUGAAACCCAAAAUACUUGAUCUUAGCAUUACAAGACAUUAAACAACUGUUUUCAUAAGUUGUGUAAUCUUUUGUGUGAUUUAAAAAAAAAAAAAUGUAGAUAACACCGAGACCACUCGAGCCAUCGACAUUCAAGAUUAUAGAUUUUUUUCAUAACACUUUAUCUUUGAGGUUUGUUGUACUUUAAUGGUUGCUGAAUUACUAUUUCUGACUUGUGUUGCUGGUGUUGGAAAAGAAGAGUUGCAAUGUAGCCUCUCUAUGUUCUUUGUCACUUUUUUACUUAUACUAUAGCCAAACAUGAGCACUUUAUUAAUAAACAGAUACAUUACAUGA